UACGUAGGCAGCAAGCGUUGUUCGGAGUUACUGGGCGUAAAGGGUGCGUAGGCGGCUUUUUAAGUUUGGUGUGAAAUCUCCCGGCUCAACUGGGAGGGUGCGCCGAAUACUGAGAGGCUAGAGUGUGGGAGAGGAAAGUGGAAUUCCUGGUGUAGCGGUGAAAUGCGUAGAUAUCAGGAGGAACACCGGUGGUGUAAACGGCUUUCUGGACCAUAACUGACGCUGAGGCACGAAAGUGUGGGUAGCAAACAGG
rnacentral:rRNA from 1 species